UCCCUGGCAGUCCAGUAGUUAAGACUCUGCACUUCCAGUGCAAAGGCCUCAGGUUCAAUCCCUGGUCAGGAAA
rnacentral:tRNA from 1 species